rnacentral:rRNA from 1 species
AGAGUUUGAUCAUGGCUCAGAACGAACGCUGGCGGCGCGCCUAAUACAUGCAAGUCGAGCGAGAAGGUGUAGCAAUACACUUGUAAAGCGGCGAACGGGUGAGGAAUACAUGGGUAAUCUACCAUCGAGUGGGGAAUAACCAACCGAAAGGUUGGCUAAUACCGCGUACGCCUCCGAGUCUUCGGGUUCGGAGGGAAAGCUGCACUGUGAGUGUAGCGCUCUUUGAUGAGCUCAUGUCCUAUCAGCUUGUUGGUAGGGUAACGGCUUACCAAGGCUUUGACGGGUAGCUGGUCUGAGAGGACGAUCAGCCACACUGGCACUGCGACACGGGCCAGACUCCUACGGGAGGCAGCAGUAAGGAAUAUUGCGCAAUGGGCGAAAGCCUGACGCAGCGACGCCGCGUGGGGGAUGAAGGUCUUCGGAUUGUAAACCCCUUUCGGGAGGGAAGAUGGGACGAGCAAUCGUUCGGACGGUACCUCCAGAAGCAGCCACGGCCAACUUCGUGCCAGCAGCCGCGGUAAUACGAAGGUGGCAAGCGUUGUUCGGAUUCACUGGGCGUACAGGGUGUGUAGGCGGUUUGGUAAGCCUUCUGUUAAAGCUUCGGGCCCAACCCGGAAAGCGCAGAGGGUACUGCCAGGCUAGAGGGUGGGAGAGGAGCGCGGAAUUCCCGGUGUAGCGGUGAAAUGCGUAGAGAUCGGGAGGAAGGCCGGUGGCGAAGGCGGCGCUCUGGAACAUACCUGACGCUGAGACACGAAAGCGUGGGGAGCAAACAGGAUUAGAUACCCUGGUAGUCCACGCCC